CCCAGCUACUCAGUUGGCUGAGGUAGGAGAAUCGCUUGAACCAUGGAAGCGGACAUUGCAGUGAGCCGAGAUCACGCCACUACACUCCAGCCUGGGCGACAGAGUGAUACUCUGUCUCAAAAACAAUCAAACAAACAAAAGAAACCAAGCAGAAGCAGGUUUCAACCCCUUCGGCUGAUCCUGCCUUGUCCAGCAGGCUGAAUGAGCUUUGGAGUCAUAAUCAAUCACUUUCACUCUGUUGGGGACCAGAGGCAGUGUCAUCCUGCCCAGGCCACAAGGCAGCGGCAGAGAGCGUCACACCUCAGCUGGUGCGAUUCUGCGUGCAGCCCCAGGCUCAGUAGGUGCCAACCCCAAUGGCCACUACAGGGUUGCUGGCUUAGCCCUGGGAUCCCGCACACGCCCACCGUGAGGUAGCCUAGUGUGUCUUGCUCCAGCUGAUGCACUUCCACCCCUGGUCCCCGGGGGGCAUCAGGGACAAGUCUCUCUGGUUUGCAGAAGCCAAGUUACUCUGGGGCAGGAGCUGGGAUGGUGUAAGGGGGUAGUGGGCGUCCGUGGGCCGUGCAGAUUUCGGCCCUGGGCUGGGUAAAGCAAGCUUAUGCUGCACCUGUCCCCUGGGGCUGUUCUAUCCAGUGCUCCUCUCCAUAAUCCUUUACUGAUGGCGCCAGGCUGGGCUUCUGGGGCCCCUACAGGAUGGUCAAUGGGGGCUGGCUCUGGGUCCGCGAAGCAUUCUGUGCUCUGAUGGGAAGACUUAAAGGGAAACAAAGGGACCUCUGAAGAGUAUGAAUCACAUUAUUGGCACGGGUAAGUGGGUACUGGUAGCAACAGCAGGUGGUGUGGGUGGGGGUUGCCAAGAGGGCGAGGUAGGAAAUAGAAUAUAAGGAGAAAAAUGAUUGAAGAUCUCAAAUGUCCCUUUAUGAACCCCCCCCAGGGCCUCCCACCCGCCUAGCACAGCUCCCCACCUUCACCACGCCCCCUGCCCCACCCUCACUCGCACCAGUAACAACAGCGACCAUUGCCGGAGCACUCACUCUGUCCCGUCCCCAGGUUCAGGUGCUUUACAUAAUUCUUGCCUUUCAUCCUCACAACUCCAUGAGGGAGGUAGUGCCAUGACGCCCAUUUGACAGAUGAAGAAACAGGCCGAGAGGGGUCAGGUGACUUGUCCACAUCACAUAGGCAGGGAGUGGAACAACCAGAGUUGGAACUAAGCACACUCUUACCCUCCAUGCAGACUCCAGCAGAGAGCAAAGGAGAGAGGCUGAGGAAGAGUUUGAAGCCACAGUGACAUGUUCCUUGCCCACAUGUUUACCAUCUAUCUUGUAGCCUGGGGGCUGACACAUCAUCCUGCCUUCCCUCUUUUUUUUACAAGCCCUGCUUUGCAGAGGCUGGAGAACAGCCAAGCCAGAGCUGGGAGCAGCCUCUGGCCUGAAGCCCCAGUUGGAGAACUCAUCCAGGACAAAGACCAGUCUUCUGCGAGGUGGAUGAGAGUGGGUGUCCCGAGCAGAGGCUGUAGUUUAGGGAGGUUAGGCUGCUUGCUCAAGCCCUGUGUGGCCUGAGGUAUCAAGCAAAACAGCUGUCCCAGUCAUUAGACACCUAAUGUGUGCAUGAACCUGUCUCGGGUCCUCUUCCUUGGUCCAUGGUGUGGACUCCCUGAUAACUGAUUUGGAGAUGAGGGAAUAGGUCCCUUUCAGACACAGCCCAUGUGUAACCUUCUGGGGUGUAAUAGCUUUGACAAUGUACACCCCUUGGCCAGCAAUGACACCUCUAAUGCUCUAAUGUUCCCUCCUAUGGAAGUUUCUGUUCAGUUAGGCACAGGUCUAUCUCUAGUUCUACCAUCUCUAUCUCCAACUCCAUCAUCUCCCUUUUCCCCACCAUCACCAUCACCUCUGUCUCCAUCUCCAUCACUCAUCUCCAUCAUCUCUCUUCUGUGCCAUUGCUCUCCCCUCUCUCCUCUUUGAUGCUGCUAUUGUCUCUCUCAUCUCCCUCUAAAUUUAUAUCUAUAUAAUAGCAAAAUUAGCAAUAAGCAGAAAACUGGAAACAACGUAAAUGUGGAGCAAUUGGAGUUAAGUUCUGAUGUAUUUAAUAUGGGGUUGACUUCAGUUCUGAUAUAUUUAUAUGAUGAAAUAACCCUACAUUCAACAUAUUUGAGUACCUGUCUUUGCCAGGCACCACGACUCCAAAGGCAAACAAUACUAAGUAAUUAUUAAAAUGAUGCAAAAAGUUUAGUUCAGGAUGGUGAAUUAAACUUACACAUUUACCUCCUUUUCUCCUUUGCCAAAUCCCACUGAAAUGACAUUGGAGAUGUACAGAAAUGAACACAUCCAUAACAGAGCAUAGAAUAGGUAGAGAGGUGGGGGAGGGGGAAGGCUUAUACCAGCUACUGCAGUUAAGCUGCCUAGUUCUUUAUUCCUAAAUAUGGACAACCAAAGCUCACCAGAUAUUUGAGAUAAACCAGCAGCAUAAAAGAGAUGGCCCAACAUAAACAAGCAGAUCAACUGAUCCCAGAGGAAGUCAGAGAACAGAAGACAACUUUGAAAAAGCGUGUAAGUAGCUAUAUUCCUCACAGUGAAUGCCAGGUUUGGUGUGGUGGAGGAUGUGAGCAGCUGGAACUCCCCUACACUGCUGGUGGGAAUGCAAAAUGGUGCAGCCACUUUGGAAAACAGUUUGGCAGCUUCUUAAACAUAAGACAUGACCCAGCGAGUCCACUCCACAGAAAGACUUGUAUGUAACUGUUUAUAGUGGCUUUAUUCAUAUAGCCCCAAGUUGGAAAUAGCUGCACUACCAUGCUGUUACGUAGGCUGAAAGAGGUUUCCUCACUACACUAGGGUCCUCCAUCAUUAAUGCUUCUUUAAUAAAAACUCUUCUCAAGGCUGCUUUACUUCCAAAGGAAGCUGGAGUCAUUCACUGCAAAGGCCAUCAAAAGGCCCCACACUCCAUUGCUCAAGGCAACAAUUAUGCUGAUAAGACAGAAAAAGCAGCAGCCACUAUUCCUACUUCUGUCCCUCAUGGCCAGUUUUUCUCCUCAUCAGUCACGCCUACUUACUCUCGCACUGAAGUUUCCACCUAUCAAUCCCUCCCCACUGAAGGCAAAUGGUUCUUAGACCAAGGAAAUACCUCCUUUCACCCUCACAGGCUCAUUCCAUUCUGUCAUCUUUUCGUAACCUCUUCCAUGUAGGUUACAAGCCACUAGCCAGCCUCAUAGAACCUCUCAUUUCCUUUAAGACAUUUACCCUGCAUUUCACUCCAUCCUUGGCUACCUUCCCCCUGUAAGCCAGAGCGGGUGUGAGGAGGGGAGAUGAUAGAAGGAUUAUAGGGUUGGGGAGCGGAGGCUGAGGAAGAAUUGGGACGUGGCUCAGCCUGGCGAGGAGCAGCCUGGGGAGGAAGGAAGAGGUCAGAUGGGUCCGUAGAAAAGGAGGAUUCAAAGGACUUAGAGCUUGGGGUGGAGACUGAAGGAACAGACAGGAGAGAAGAAAUAUUUAGGACGAGUCACAUUGGGAGCAGAGACUAGGGAGGGACAAAUGUGUAAAAGAAUGCCUGGAUGUCAGGCACCUCAGACUAUGCCCAUUUUAUGACAAAAAUUAUCUAGAUCUUGUAGGAUGGAGAAAUUGAAAGCACUGUUUUCUGGCUAUUUAGAACCAUUAUCAAGGUUUGUAUUGGAGCCAAAUGGUGUUGCAGAAGAAAAUAAGACACUUAGGUUUUAGGUCAGGCGAAAGUUGAAGAGGUUUUACGUUUUUGAGAACACAGGUUAAGGGAGAAGAAGGGGGAAUAGAGGGUGGAAGGUUGCCCAUAGUGAAGGAGGCAAGCCCAGAGAAAAGAG
rnacentral:lncRNA from 10 species